rnacentral:rRNA from 1 species
GACCAGACUCCUACGGGAGGCAGCAGUGGGGAAUAUUGCACAAUGGGGGAAACCCUGAUGCAGCGACGCCGCGUGAGCGAUGAAGUAUUUCGGUAUGUAAAGCUCUAUCAGCAGGGAAGAAAAUGACGGUACCUGACUAAGAAGCCCCGGCUAACUACGUGCCAGCAGCCGCGGUAAUACGUAGGGGGCAAGCGUUAUCCGGAUUUACUGGGUGUAAAGGGAGCGUAGACGGCAUGGCAAGUCAGAUGUGAAAGCCCGGGGCUCAACCCCGGGACUGCAUUUGAAACUGUCAGGCUGGAGUGCAGGAGAGGUAAGUGGAAUUCCUAGUGUAGCGGUGAAAUGCGUAGAUAUUAGGAGGAACACCAGUGGCGAAGGCGGCUUACUGGACUGUAACUGACGUUGAGGCUCGAAAGCGUGGGGAGCAAACAGGAUUAGAUACCCGUGUAC